UACGUAGGGUGCGAGCGUUGCCCGGAUUUAUUGGGCGUAAAGAGCUCGUAGGCGGCUUGUCGCGUCGUUCGUGAAAACUCACAGCUCAACUGUGAGCUUGCGGUCGAUACGGGCAGGCUAGAGUUCGGUAGGGGAGACUGGAAUUCCUGGUGUAGCGGUGAAAUGCGCAGAUAUCAGGAGGAACACCGGUGGCGAAGGCGGGUCUCUGGGCCGAUACUGACGCUGAGGAGCGAAAGCGUGGGGAGCGAACAGG
rnacentral:rRNA from 1 species